UGAAACAAUUCACAAGCAGUCAGCCAGAAGGUCAGGACACAACCAUCUCUCAAACAGUCAUUGUGAACUUCUGAAAGUGAAAACUUGUUACUUUGAACCCUGGACACAAAGCUGGACCUUUUCUUUACCUGAGACUUCAAGCCCUUGAGGAGCUGAUGUGCUGCUGCUGCUGCUGAGGAGGUGGAUUGUUUCCAGACUUUGAACACUGGUCAGGCAAACAUUGCUGGAGCAAUGUGCAGAUGAAGAUGGCGAGCUAAAGGAUCAACCUCAAAACCUCGUGGAGAUUCCCCCAAAAGGCAGGCCUCAAGCCUGGCUGUUUGGCUGAAUGGUGUGGGAGGAUUUCCCCUGCCUAAAUCAAUCUGCACACACAUGACUAUACCUGCAAUAUAAAUGACCUGAAGUAAGCUAUCACUGGCUCAACAGUUGUGUUGCACGGCUCCUUUCAGAUCUUCAAUCGGCUGACAUAGAAG